AAUGAACGCUGGCGGCGUGCCUAACACAUGCAAGUCGUGCGAGAAAGUUCCUUCGGGAGCGAGUAAAGCGGCGCACGGGUGAGUAACACGUAGGUAACCUGCCCCCCAGUCUGGAACAACUAGAGGAAACUCUAGCUAAUGCCGGAUGAGACCACGAUCCCUUCGGGGGUUGCGGCCAAAGAUGGCCUCUACUUGUAAGCUAUCGCUGAGGGAUGGGCCUGCGGGCCAUUAGCUUGUUGGUGAGGUAACGGCUCACCAAGGCUGUGAUGGCUAGCUGGUCUGAGAGGAUGACCAGCCACACUGGGACUGAGACACGGCCCAGACUCCUACGGGAGGCAGCAGUGGGGAAUAUUGCGCAAUGGGCGAAAGCCUGACGCAGCGACGCCGCGUGGGUGAUGAAGGCCUGGUC
rnacentral:rRNA from 1 species